UAAGAACCAUUUCUGAUUACAAAAAAAAGCUACGCAAAUUUGAAAGCUUUUUCAAGCCUUUUCUCAAUAAACUAAUUUUAGAUCUUCUGAGUCUUCUUAACAUUAUGAAAACUAAUUUUUGAUUACAAAAAAGCUUUGUAAAUUCGAAAGCUUUUUUUUAAAUAAUUUAAUUUUAGGACCUCUGAGUCUUCUUUUCGUUAUGAAAACAAAUUUUUGAUCACAAAAAAGCUUUGCAAAUUCGAAAGCUUUUUUUUAAAUAAUUUAAUUUUAGGACCUCUGAGUCUUCUUUCCGUUAUGAAAACAAAUUUUUGAUCACAAAAAAGCUUUGUAAAUUCGAAAGCUUUUUCAAGCUUUUUUUUAAUAAUUUAAUUUCAGAUCCUCUGAGUCUUCUUAACAUUAUGAAGAGGCUCAACGAAACCGCUGUAAAUAUGAAAUAUAAUUUGCUUUGAAGUGUAUAUUUAUAUAUGGGUAUUCAUCACGUGACCGAUUAUUAUCGCAAUCUUGCUUGCAUAUAAUAAGACCCUUAUUACAGUUUUCAACCCAACUGCAUUUUUAAUAAAGUUUUGAACAUCCGGCAAUAUGGUUUUCAACUCAACGCGUCAAAUAAAAUUUCGGUUGAAGUGUUUUCAAGCUUCAGACCUUAGCUAGGUACCUCCCAACUGCAAAAGGGGCGAAGUGCUAGCAGUCCGUCUUGCCUUCGUCGGGAUACUGUGGAAUCCAUUGCCAGGCACCCUCGGGGAGGGUUCAGCGUGGUGUUUUUAUUUCAUUUCCUUAACUCGGCAAGCUACAAUAACGGUAAUAU